rnacentral:rRNA from 1 species
GAUGAACGCUGGCGGCGUGCCUAAUACAUGCAAGUCGAGCGAACGGACGAGAAGCUUGCUUCUCUGAUGUUAGCGGCGGACGGGUGAGUAACACGUGGAUAACCUACCUAUAAGACUGGGAUAACUUCGGGAAACCGGAGCUAAUACCGGAUAAUAUUUUGAACCGCAUGGUUCAAAAGUGAAAGACGGUCUUGCUGUCACUUAUAGAUGGAUCCGCGCUGCAUUAGCUAGUUGGUAAGGUAACGGCUUACCAAGGCAACGAUGCAUAGCCGACCUGAGAGGGUGAUCGGCCACACUGGAACUGAGACACGGUCCAGACUCCUACGGGGGGCAGCAGUAGGGAAUCUUCCGCAAUGGGCGAAAGCCUGACGGAGCAACGCCGCGUGAGUGAUGAAGGUCUUCGGAUCGUAAAACUCUGUUAUUAGGGAAGAACAUAUGUGUAAGUAACUGUGCACAUCUUGACGGUACCUAAUCAGAAAGCCACGGCUAACUACGUGCCAGCAGCCGCGGUAAUACGUAGGUGGCAAGCGUUAUCCGGAAUUAUUGGGCGUAAAGCGCGCGUAGGCGGUUUUUUAAGUCUGAUGUGAAAGCCCACGGCUCAACCGUGGAGGGUCAUUGGAAACUGGAAAACUUGAGUGCAGAAGAGGAAAGUGGAAUUCCAUGUGUAGCGGUGAAAUGCGCAGAGAUAUGGAGGAACACCAGUGGCGAAGGCGACUUUCUGGUCUGUAACUGACGCUGAUGUGCGAAAGCGUGGGGAUCAAACAGGAUUAGAUACCCUGGUAGUCCACGCCGUAAACGAUGAGUGCUAAGUGUUAGGGGGUUUCCGCCCCUUAGUGCUGCAGCUAACGCAUUAAGCACUCCGCCUGGGGAGUACGACCGCAAGGUUGAAACUCAAAGGAAUUGACGGGGACCCGCACAAGCGGUGGAGCAUGUGGUUUAAUUCGAAGCAACGCGAAGAACCUUACCAAAUCUUGACAUCCUUUGACAACUCUAGAGAUAGAGCUUUCCCCUUCGGGGGACAAAGUGACAGGUGGUGCAUGGUUGUCGUCAGCUCGUGUCGUGAGAUGUUGGGUUAAGUCCCGCAACGAGCGCAACCCUUAAGCUUAGUUGCCAUCAUUAAGUUGGGCACUCUAAGUUGACUGCCGGUGACAAACCGGAGGAAGGUGGGGAUGACGUCAAAUCAUCAUGCCCCUUAUGAUUUGGGCUACACACGUGCUACAAUGGACAAUACAAAGGGCAGCGAAACCGUGAGGUCAAGCAAAUCCCAUAAAGUUGUUCUCAGUUCGGAUUGUAGUCUGCAACUCGACUACAUGAAGCUGGAAUCGCUAGUAACCGUAGAUCAGCAUGCUACGGUGAAUACGUUCCCGGGUCU